rnacentral:tRNA from 1 species
AGUAAAGUCAGCUNAACUCAAGCUUU